UACACUUGUGUUUCUAGCUCCAAUUAGAAAAGUGACAUUUUCAAAGCCUAUUUGCUACUAAAAAUUUAAAAGCACACAUGAGCUUUACCAUAACGAACACAUAUCAUUUUCUGAUAAAAUAGGGUUACAACUGUGCUUGUUACAUUUGAGGAUGAGCUCCUGUAACAAAAAGGACCUAAAAUACAGUGGCUUAACAAAUACAGAAAUGAGUGUCUUUCUUGUGUAACAGAGCUGAAGUAAAUAGCUCAGAUGGGUGGGACAGAUCAGCUAUAUGCAGUCAUGCAGAGAUAGAUUCCUGCAACCUAAUUGCUCCCUUAUCCUCUGGGAUACAAAUGAAGCUGGACCCCUGCCACAUGCAGAAAAUGUCUUAAUGAGUUUUGCUGAAUGUUUUAAUUUCCAGACCCAGACACAUCACUUCUACUUACAUUCUGUUAACCAGAACUUGUCCGUCUAACUGCUAGAGAGGCUGAGAAAUAUGACCUAGUUCAGAGGUUUCGACUCAAUCACAACUUUAUUUUCAUGGGUAAAGGGAAGAACAGAUUUUGGUGGAACUCAGUCUCAUUUACUACUGCCCCGAAUAUCAUAGUAAUAUUCAAAUAACUGAACUAAAUAUAAAAGAUGGCAUUUCAUAAAGGCAAAUACAGGAGAAGAUAGAAAUUGACAUAUUCAAAGGCAAUGUUUUUAUAUAUGAGCUUUAAAUUACAUAGAAAUUUUCUUCCAGUAAUAUUUUUUAAAGUGUUUACAACUAUUUGGUCCAUCCUAGCUCAUCCGAAGUAACUAAGCGUUUCUGUGGAAGUAUUCUGUGGAAGUAUUCUGUAAAUAUUGCAAUGACUUAAAACAAAGUUCCCAAGAUACCUCAAAUUAUCAUAUCUCCUUCGGUUUGUAGCAGUUUCAUUUCAUUACUUCAAUCCUGGGCCACUUUUUAAAGGGCUAACAAAAACAAAUUUGUAACUACUUAACAUUUUGAAAAUAUACACAGGUAAACCUAAGAAGAAUUUAAUGUCUAGAAAUAAAAUUCACCAAAUGUAUGCUCUACAGCAGGGGAAAUCAAUUCUAAAGCUGGGCCCGGGAUAGAGAAUAGAGGAGGCCAAAACCCUUUCUAGUUAGACUUAAGUCUGUACUAAAAGACAUGCCUAACUCCUGUCUUGCUGGCACAAUGAACCCAUUUAACUAAAGGCAUACAAAAAAGCCAUUAUUGUUUUCUGGAAGAUGAUAAGACUAACAGAAGACUAUAAUGCCUUUUUUGGCACUGAGAGAUGAAGUCAGAGAACUUUGGCAACUCAAAGGGAGCAAUAAAAUGGCCACAUGAAAAGGACACUUUGGAAAUACAGUAAUGACAGAAAUAUAAGAUGCAUAAAUAUGAUCAAGAUUUACUGCUAGAGAUGUUACCAUAGCUUCUGAGGUGCUGUCACUCUCUACCACACCUGGCAGCAGGAUGUUAGAUGAGAUGGGAACCCACAAUUAAAUACCAAUAAAGGUAAUUUCAGGUCUUCAGCCUGUGGCCCACUUCAUUCUGACCUCAUAAAGAAGGUAGUCUGUGGAAUGUAUGCAUGAGCCAAGGACUGUGUAAAACGUAAUGCAAUGACUAAGAACUCAACACAAAAACAGAGAGGAGCAGAUAGUUUACGACUAACUUUACCAGAUGGCUUCCUUAAGCACAGUCAUAAAUAAUAAGUGAAUGUCACAUAAAAAGAAUCAAAAGAAGAGAAUGGAUGGACAGCUUCUUUACCAUAUGCCUUUUGCAAGACCUCUGAUGGAUUUAAAGAAAUUCUGUUGGUUUUUUGGAGAAGUUGUUCAUACCUCAAUCCUGUGCCCUUCUUAGAUUACACUGAUCAGUCUCUUCUCUGCUCAUAAACACCCCACAUGCCCAUGUUUGUUAACUAAACAUGUAAUUUACUUCUGUUUUUAGCUUGGUACUUUUUUUUUUUUUCAUUUCUGAAUGUGUGUCUCUACAACUCCCUUUCACUUAUCAUUGUUCUGCUUUCAGUUGAGUCACUCAGUCAUCACUAAGGACUCAUUAGCUGGUUAAUUCGAAGCACUAUGUAGAAAGAAAACUGUGCCCCUGCCAACUGCCUGCUGAAGGACCUGGGUUUUCAUUUUCUUGCCAUUUCAGUCCCAAUCUUUCUUUAGGAGACUGAUGAUAAGGUUCAGAGCGGACUGUUUGUUUGAUGGCUUUCUAAUAUGGAGACAGUUCCAAAACAGCCGGGAUUAAAUUGGCUAACUUCAUGCACAUGUGUGACCCAACCCAAAUUACAGUCCAGGUGGCUGGUGGUGAAAGCCAACUCAUUAACCUACAGUGACACCUGUUCAUCUGACACACCUUUCCCGAACUCAAAAGGUCUAUUUCUUUUGAAAUAUUUGUGGCUCUGAAACUAAAGGUCAUUCAAUUCUUGUCUUUAACUUCACAUGAUGGUUAAAACAGACACAAAAUAAUAGAAUCACCUUUAAAGACAGAGAAGAAACAUGCAAAGGAGUGUCCUUUCUGUCAGGAUAGAAAGAAAAUAAAAUGUGCCUAGAGGAUCCUGAAAGAAAAAUCGUCAUCCAAUUUUAAAUGAGAGUUUUAUUCAAAUAUCCAUAUGACAGUUUCUAUGGCACAUCUUCAAUUUGUUAAUAGUAACCAAAUUGAACAUAUUGCCUUAUUCUAUUAUGUGUAUGCCCUCUUGGCUGUCAAACUCUGGAGAACUCAAAACAAGUGUGCAAGCAAAACUGAAAGAGGUUAAUAUCACAAGAGAACCUGCCACUUAUAAAGGUCUUCUGAGUGUUGAUUCCCAGAGACAUGUUAAUGAUCAAUUUAAUAAAAAUAAUUUAGUAAUUUUUUGCCUGACACUUUAGAUUUAUUUUUUUAAUUAAAAUAACAUAUAACAAAGCAGACAAGGAUUUUGUCAUUUUGAGAUACAGUUAGUAACUUUGGCUUUGGUUUUCCUUCUGGUUCUGCAGUGCUUUUUUGCAGUGUUUACUUACCUGUGGUCUCAUGUCUUUUCCCAUCAAUUCAUUGAAAUUGCUGUCAUCAUGUUUGUUAAUGACUUCUUUGUUAUGAAAUUCCAGUGACAUUUCUCAUUUUUUAACCUAUUUGACCUCUUAUUUACCCAGCCAAAAAAAUAUAUACCAAAUAGCUACUAAGUGCCAGGCACUGCAUUUAGAUGACAGGAAUAAAUGCUUAAGUAGACAUAUAAAGUCCCUACAAUUGUGGCAUUUACAGUGGAAUAGAAGAGCUCAAUAUUAAACAGUUACAUAAACAAUUAUUCAACUACAAUAUGAUUAAUGAUACAAAGAACAAAUACAGUGUGCAAUAAGAGCGUAUAAAUGAAAAAUACAAUUUAGUUGGAUAUGUCCCCUGAGAAAAAGACAACUAACCUUAAUAUUAAAACUUAUUUACUCAAAAAUAAGUGUGCACAACUGUAUAGUUAACUUAUCUUCAAUUCAGUCAAUCGUCAAUCUAAAGCAUCAACUAAACAAUGUAUUCACAGAUAUACCACACAAUGACAGUAUAAUUGUGUAAUUGACAGACAAUAUAAAUUAAUAUUUAUAAUGAUAAUCUUGGAUGAGAAAAGAGAGUCUACAGGACCUUCUAGAUCAUCACAGUUAAAUUAUACUUGGCUAAUAUAGUUUUAAUAUUUAGUACAAUUUCAUGUUUGAAACUUCUGAAAAACUUUUCUUCACAUGUAGACCAUAUGAUACUAAUAUUAUAGUAGACCGUCCUAUUUACAAUCAAAUUAUACAACAAUAUACUAAAUUAUCAUAUCAGUUUUUUGUUUCUUUAAUAAUUGCUAAUAUAUGUGUAUAGUUGUAAACAUACCUGUAUAUGUGUAUGUGAUAUGUAUAUAUAUCAACUGUAUAGUUAAAACACCACAUGUGUAGAAGAGACCCUCUGACCAGCAUUUAAGCUUAGCCAUGAGAAUGGAAUUUGGAAGUUGAAGAAUGUGACCUGGAGGAAAGAAGAAAAUGAUUACAGAGGGGCAUUUGAGAAUGAGAGGAUAGAGAAGAGAGACAGAGGUUGAGGAAAUGAGAUAUCAGAGUCCCCUCACUGCCCUCCCCAUUAACACACUCAAGGCUCAGCUAGUGAGGGGAGAGUAUCUUUGGGAUACAGGACAAAAUAUAGAAUUUGAAGAACCAGGAAGCUUUUGUCUUAUUCUAAAAGGAGAUAACUUGCAGGCUGUCUCCGGAUCAAUUGAGUGGUAGAUCCAUAUUACAAAUAAACAUGAUAGCAGAGUGUGAUUAGGCAGAAGGAGGUGUUGAGAUGCACCUUCCUAGAACAUUCUUGAUUUCUGUGUAAUGUAGAAAUGAGCAGUUAUUGUAGUGGGAACGAGCAACUCCACAGUAAAGGCAUUAGAUUUUGCCAUCUGGGCAGUGGAUGACACAGAUAUCAGUGUGUGGCUGGGAUCUGAAGCCUGUUCAGGGUCAACAUGAGCAUAAGUCAUCCAGAAAGGCUGAUGAAGUCAGCAAAGGUCAGCCAGACAAAGAGCACUGUCAAGGCCAUCAUAUGGAUCUAAGCAUCCCUUUUCCCACCUCCCUAAAGAGCACCAAGAAAGACACCAACAUCCAUUGCCAAUUUCCUUCUCCUUGCCAGUAGGGAGGCUGAAAAAAAACAGAUACUCUCUUUCUAUUAAUAUAUCUUCCUUAUAGAGUAGGAUGGAUAUUUGGCUAAGUAUUGGUCAAUAAGAUAAUGUGGAAUUUGCUGGGUGGCGGGCAGGGGUCCUAUGUGUAAUAAUUUUGUGUCUUGAUAAGGUAUAUGGCUGGGACCAUCCCUGACACUCUUUUUCCUCGAAUGUGAACUCAUGAGUGAAGCAUACAUCCCUUGUCCAUGGAGCAAGAAAGAUGAGGAUGAAAAGACUAUGUUAAGGAUGUGAUGUGAAAAGCAGGAAGAACUUCUUAUUCAUGUUAUCACUGAGCAGAGGCCUCUCCAGAUUGUGAUGCACUGGGAUCAAGCCACCAUGAACAUGUCCUCAGGUCUCCAGUCUUCUGCCAUUGCAUGGUAAAUGGAGCUUGUCAAACAUGGAGCAGAGCUGAACUUUCUGAAUUGCACAGGACUGUUCAGAGUGCUUGGAAUGAAACCCACCCA